rnacentral:misc_RNA from 1 species
CAGAGUUGCAAAACUCCCACAAACCAUCGCGAAUCUUACCCGUACGGUUGCCUCGGCGCUGGCGGUCCGGAAGGCCCUCGGGCCCCCCGGAUCCUCGGGUCUCCCGCUCGCGGGAGGCUGCCCGCCGGAGUGCCGAAACCAAACUCUUGAUAUUUUAUGUCUCUCUGAGUAAACUUUAAAUAAGUCA